rnacentral:rRNA from 1 species
CCUACGGGAGGCAGCAGUGAGGAAUAUUGGUCAAUGGUCGGGAGACUGAACCAGCCAAGCCGCGUGAGGGAUGAAGGUACAGAGUAUCGUAAACCUCUUUUGUCAGGGAACAAAGGCGGGGACGCGUCCACGGAUGAGUGUACCUGAAGAAAAAGCAUAGGCUAACUCCGUACCAGCAGCCGCGGUAAUACGGGGGUUGCGAGCGUUAUCCGGAUUUAUGGGGUUUAAGGGGUGCGAAGGCGGUCUGUUAAGUCAGCGGUAAAAGCCCGGGGCAAAACCCCGGACCGCCGUUGAAACUGGCAGUCUCGAGUGGGAGAGAGGUAUGCGGAAUGCGCGGUGUAGCGGUGAAAUGCAUAGAUAUCGCGCAGAACUCCGAUUGCGAAGGCAGCAUGCCGGCUCCACACUGACGCUGAGGAACGAAAGCGUGGGUAUCGAACAGGAUUAGAUACCCUUGUAGUC